rnacentral:rRNA from 2 species
CCUGUACUUUCUAUAAAUGUGAUGGAGUGACGGGGGAGGAUAGCACUACCACUUAUUGGAUUGUGGGGUAAAUAGUGACUGGGUUAUGUAGGCAAAUCCGCAUAACUUAACCGGRAGCUAUGAUGCAUAGUGAAAGGGCAACUAAGUAGCGAAUUGGAUGAUUCCAUACCUCUUAAAAAAGCUUCUAACAUAUAGUUUAUGGAAACCCGUACCGAGAACGGACACACGUCCCCAAGAUGAGUAUUCUAAGGCGAGCGAGAAAACCAAUGUCAAGGAACUCUGCAAAUUCAUCCCGUAAGUUCGCAAGAAGGGAUGCCCACCCUAAAAAGUGGGCCGCAGUGAAUAGUAAGGGGGAACUGUUUAUCAAAAACACAGCUCUAUGCUAAGUCGUAAGACGAUGUAUAUGGGGUGACUCCUGCCCAGUGCCCGAAGGUUAAGCAAAGGUGUUAG